rnacentral:rRNA from 1 species
CGACAGGCUUAACACAUGCAAGUCGAGGGGCAGCACAGGUAGCAAUACCGGGUGGCGACCGGCGCACGGGUGAGUAACGCGUAUGCAACUUGCCUAUCAGAGGGGGAUAACCCGGCGAAAGUCGGACUAAUACCGCAUGAAGCAGGGGUCCCGCAUGGGAAUAUUUGCUAAAGAUUCAUCGCUGAUAGAUAGGCAUGCGUUCCAUUAGGCAGUUGGCGGGGUAACGGCCCACCAAACCGACGAUGGAUAGGGGUUCUGAGAGGAAGGUCCCCCACAUUGGUACUGAGACACGGACCAAACUCCUACGGGAGGCAGCAGUGAGGAAUAUUGGUCAAUGGCCGAGAGGCUGAACCAGCCAAGUCGCGUGAGGGAUGAAGGUUCUAUGGAUCGUAAACCUCUUUUAUAAGGGAAUAAAGUGCGGGACGUGUCCCGUUUUGUAUGUACCUUAUGAAUAAGGAUCGGCUAACUCCGUGCCAGCAGCCGCGGUAAUACGGAGGAUCCGAGCGUUAUCCGGAUUUAUUGGGUUUAAAGGGUGCGUAGGCGGCCUUUUAAGUCAGCGGUGAAAGUCUGUGGCUCAACCAUAGAAUUGCCGUUGAAACUGGGGGGCUUGAGUAUGUUUGAGGCAGGCGGAAUGCGUGGUGUAGCGGUGAAAUGCUUAGAUAUCACGCAGAACCCCGAUUGCGAAGGCAGCCUGCCAAGCCAUUACUGACGCUGAUGCACGAAAGCGUGGGGAUCAAACAGGAUUAGAUACCCUGGUAGUCCACGCAGUAAACGAUGAUCACUAGCUGUUUGCGAUACAUUGUAAGCGGCACAGCGAAAGCGUUAAGUGAUCCACCUGGGGAGUACGCCGGCAACGGUGAAACUCAAAGGAAUUGACGGGGGCCCGCACAAGCGGAGGAACAUGUGGUUUAAUUCGAUGAUACGCGAGGAACCUUACCCGGGUUUGAACGCAUUCGGACCGAGGUGGAAACACCCUUUCUAGCAAUAGCCGUUUGCGAGGUGCUGCAUGGUUGUCGUCAGCUCGUGCCGUGAGGUGUCGGCUUAAGUGCCAUAACGAGCGCAACCCUUGCCACUAGUUACUAACAGGUGAUGCUGAGGACUCUGGUGGGACUGCCAGCGUAAGCUGCGAGGAAGGCGGGGAUGACGUCAAAUCAGCACGGCCCUUACAUCCGGGGCGACACACGUGUUACAAUGGCGUGGACAAAGGGAGGCCACCUGGCGACAGGGAGCGAAUCCCCAAACCACGUCUCAGUUCGGAUCGGAGUCUGCAACCCGACUCCGUGAAGCUGGAUUCGCUAGUAAUCGCGCAUCAGCCAUGGCGCGGUGAAUACGUUCCCGGGCCUUGUACACACCGCCCGUCAAGCCAUGGGAGCCGGGGGUACCUGAAGUCCGUAACCGCGAGGAUCGGCCUAGGGUAAAACUGGUGACUGGGGC